CACGUAGGGGGCGAGCGUUGUCCGGAUUUAUUGGGCGUAAAGAGCUCGUAGGCGGCUCGGUAAGUCGGGUGUGAAAUUUCGAGGCUCAACCUCGAAACGCCACCCGAUACUGCUGUGGCUAGAGUCCGGUAGGGGAGCGUUGGAAUUCCUGGUGUAGCGGUGAAAUGCGCAGAUAUCAGGAGGAACACCAGCGGCGAAGGCGGCGCUCUGGGCCGGUACUGACGCUGAGGAGCGAAAGCGUGGGGAGCGAACAGG
rnacentral:rRNA from 1 species